CUCUGCCAGCUAGAACCCAGAUGUGGUACCAGCAGCCUCACCACCAGUGCUCACCUGAUGCUUGGCAGCUGGAGCCACUGGGAGUCUGCAAGGGCAUCACAGAACCUGCUGUCCGUCAGGUGCAUGGAGCAGGGCUGUGGGCAGAUUCAGAGGUGAUAUAUACAACAGGCUACCAAAGGACAGGGCCUGGGACCUGCUGGGCACGCCAACAAGUGCAGCAAUGGCCUCCGUUUCGUAAGGUAGACCGAGGCUCCAGAAGGUGAAGCGAUGGGCUCCGAUUAACCUGCCCAGCUGGUGUGGGGACAGAGCAAGGGGCCUUGGUGCUGUGGACAAGAGUUCUGCCUUCGUUACUUCCAGUCCAGGUUCAGGACAUAAUUUUGCUUCUGCUCGUCUCCCCACACAGACUCCAGCGCUCAGUCCCGGCCCCCGCCCCUCUCCUCCCUGCUUCCCCUCCUUCUCAUGCAGGCUUCCCAAGGAGUGAAUUUACUCCCCGCCAGCUCCCAUGGACUGUCUCCCACAAACACACCACAGAUGCUCUUGCAGACAUUACGUGUUAACUUCAUUAAGCCAAGUGCAGUUCUCUGGCACUAAUGUCAGUCUCCACAGCCCAGUGGGUUUUUCAAACAGUGGAGACACAGCCCUCAUCUCCCAGCCUGAGCAGAAAGGCAGCGAGUAGCCAGUGAGAGGAGCCCCCAGCUUCUCACCCCGGCAAGAGCCGUAAAACAUGCUCAGCACCAGAGCACGUGCCCAUUUGACAAAGACAAUUUGAUUUGUCCGCGACUUCUAAAAUAUUCAUCCCGUUUUGAUGGACUAUCGUUUUAUAAAUAUAGA